AAAAGGACCACGGGUGCGAGACCCAAAAGGCACCAGCGGUCACGUAGAGGUGAGGGAGCAGCUCGCCCACUCGGGGGACAUCACUCCGCCCGCCCGGCUCUAGCGCUUGUCCAUCCUAUAUUCCCAUUUCAGAACUAAGCUAGUUCUACACUGGGAUGCUCGUGUAACCCGCCCAGAGAAAAGAGCCGUGGGCAGGGCAGAUCUUCACGCUUGAGCUUGGCGGCUCCGGGGCUCCGCGGCCACCAUCCUGUUUUCUCCCAGCUGGCGCCGCUCCGCCGCGACGUGAGCACGGGGUGAGAGCGGCCACUGCCCGGCACCGGAGCGACGCCCGGCCCGGCACCCGCUGGCUCGUCAGAUCUUGACACGUCCCGGCACAGCAUGGCACGGCACGGCACGGCACUGCAUGGCACGGCACGGCACGGCACUGCAUGGCACGGCGCCUCGGGACGGACCGGCGCCGCUCCCGGGCUGCUUUGCCACCCGGCCAUCCCCGACUGUACCGCUAGAUGGAGCCGGGUGCCCGGGUGCGGGCUGACCUCUCCGUCGGGUAUCUGCUAUUGGGGUCUCUGGCCCAUCUUCCCAUUCGCGCAGAGAAAUCGGCAAAAAAAAAGUGUGCGUAACGAAACCGAGCAGAGGCCAGACAUAGGUAUCAAAUAGGACACUUCAGGGGACUGCUGCUGAUUUUCCUGUUAUCUAUCCAAACUGAGCAUUAUACGAAUUUUCUCAUAUCCCGAGAGGGAAAAUAGGCACCAGUAGGAUUUCAUUAAAUAAAAAGAAAAUUCUUCUUCCAUAGGACACUCGAACUAUCAAUUAAGCAGAACACAGCCCCAUACCCCUAGCAGAAUUUCAGAAGCAAGCGAGCAAAGAAAUAAAUCCUUUCAAAUUUCA